CGUGUCGAGUUGCUGGUAUUUGUGUCUAGUUCUUUAGAGUUUCGAGUUCUGUACACAGGUUUUCACGCCGCCACCGCACCAUCUUUCAUCACUGCCAUAUACCACCUCCACGCUACCAUCAUGGUUGCUGUCAUAUACCACUACCACGCCACCAUUAUCCUUGCUGCCAUAUACCACCACCAUAUAUCCACCACAAUCCUUUUUGCCUUAGGUUAAUUUCGAGAUCCUUUUUUUUCGGUUUCGCGUUUCCUUACCUGAUUAGGUUUCGGGAAAAAUAAUUCGACGGGUGAAAAAUAAUUUCCCUAUCGUUUUGUUAGGGUUUUUAGAGAGUUUUGAGAAACUCGCAAUCAUAGUGAUUUUUGUCGCAAUUUUUGGUCGUCGCAGCACCGAAUUCCUCCAGAAAUUAAAAAAAAUUGUCAAUUUUUUUCUUGCAUAUCCUGGUUUUGGUGCUUGGGAAGAGUUUUGAGACACUCGCCAUUAUAGUGAUUUUCUGGAAAAAAAAGCGCAAACAAAAAAGCACAAAAAAAGAAGAAAAAA
rnacentral:lncRNA from 1 species